AAGUCGUAACAAGGUUUCCGUAGGUGAACCUGCGGAAGGAUCAUUAACACGUAUCCAAACGUUAAAACAACCCUGUGAACCUUCAGCGUGUUCUUGCAGGACAUCAAAACAGCAAUCCCGAGUAAAUUUUGAUUUUGGGAAGUUCUGUGUGUACGUGGACGCUGCAAUUGAGCGCUAGAUAAAGCACCCUGGUACCCUAGAGCACUCCCCUGUCUGAAAGCGGCAGGGAUCAAUGUUCAGGGUGGCGCAGUCAACGAUCGCUGUAGGUCCACACGACCGGCGACCGGGGUGGAGGCGAAAGCCCCUACGUCAUCCCUAUGUACCCUCCUCCGUCAUAAAUCGAACAACUGUUAACAAUGGAUAUCUUGGUUCUC
rnacentral:misc_RNA from 1 species